UGGAAGCCGCGUCUCCACCCCGCGGGCUUUGCCGCAGCGCCGCGCUUUCUUCGGACUUGUAGGGCGGUUGUCCUAGUCGCUUCCUAGCAAGGCAAUAGACUUCUGGGGAUAGAUGGGAGUCGUCUCUCCCUUAAAAGUGUUUUUCUUUUAUAAUUUUUAAAUUAAAAAUUCCUUCUGGGGACGACAGACCUGAGGGAAAAAUGAGGAUCCGCUGUUUCGCGACCAUCACUGGUCCAGCCGGCCACCUUUCUCCCUGGUGGGCCUGAGCCUUUGUUCGGCGGGGUCCAAGUUAGGGAGAACGGAUAGGAAAUGAGCACCUAGGUUUGGAUAAACUCUAUGCGGACUUUCCCACCCGCGCCGCCUAUAGAAAACUCGAUGUUGCAGGCCUCUCUGCCCGAGAUCUAUCUAAUUCAGGCGCGGCGGUCCAACUGCUAAGAGUCGAGGCUUCUGGGCUGGGAAAUGGUUGCAGUCAUGAACAUUGGCACAAACUCUGCAGAAAGUCGGGGUUAGAACGGCGGAGUGCACAAAACUCCGCUGCUCGCGCUGGAAACAGUCUGGCACCUCACUCCACAGUCGGGCUCCUGUAGCUUUUGACCCCGCCUCCACCUUUGGAAAGCUGGUGCUCUCUGGACCCAGAGUUUUGCCACAGCCUACAACCCUCUUGAUAACAGGCCGACCCUUCCCCAUCUUUCCUACUAGGGCCCCAGCCUCUCUGGCUCUGGGACUGGUUAAGUUUGCAUGACUGUGUCUCUGUUGGUAAACCACAAACCAUGAGGAAAGUAAGGGGUC
rnacentral:lncRNA from 1 species